rnacentral:rRNA from 1 species
GCGUGCUUAACACAUGCAAGUCGAACGAUGAACCACUUCGGUGGGGAUUAGUGGCGAACGGGUGAGUAUCACGUGGGCAAUCUGCCCUUCACUCUGGGACAAGCCCUGGAAACGGGGUCUAAUACCGGAUAACACUCCCGCACUCAUGUGCGGGGGUUAAAAGCUCCGGCGGUGAAGGAUGAGCCCGCGGCCUAUCAGCUUGUUGGUGAGGUAAUGGCUCACCAAGGCGACGACGGGUAGCCGGCCUGAGAGGGCGACGCGCCACACUGGGACUGAGACACGGCCCAGACUCCUACGGGAGGCAGCAGUGGGGAAUAUUGCACAAUGGGCGAAAGCCUGACACAGCGACGCCGCGUGAGGGAUGACGGCCUUCGGGUUGUAAACCUCUGCCAGCAGGGAAGAAGCGAAAGUGACGGUACCUGCAGAAGAAGCGCCGGCUAACUACGUGCCAGCAGCCGCGGUAAUACGUAGGGCGCAAGCGUUGUCCGGAAUUAUUGGGCGUAAAGAGCUCGUAGGCGGCUUGUCACGUCGGGUGUGAAAGCCCGGGGCUUAACCCCGGGUCUGCAUUCGAUACGGGCUAGCUAGAGUGUGGUAGGGGAGAUCGGAAUUCCUGGUGUAGCGGUGAAAUGCGCAGAUAUCAGGAGGAACACCGGUGGCGAAGGCGGAUCUCUGGGCCAUUACUGACGCUGAGGAGC